rnacentral:rRNA from 1 species
AAUGAACGCUGGCGGCAUGCCUAACACAUGCAAGUCGAACGAGACCCUUCGGGUCUAGUGGCGCACGGGUGCGUAACGCGUGGGAAUCUGCCCUUGGGUUCGGAAUAACAGUUAGAAAUGACUGCUAAUACCGAAUGAUGUCGUAAGACCAAAGAUUCAUCGCCCAGGGAUGAGCCCGCGUAGGAUUAGCUAGUUGGUGUGGUAAAAGCGCACCAAGGCGACGAUCCAGCUGGUCUGAGAGGAUGAUCAGCCACACUGGGACUGAGACACGGCCCAGACUCCUACGGGAGGCAGCAGUGGGGAAUAUUGGACAAUGGGCGAAAGCCUGAUCCAGCAAUGCCGCGUGAGUGAUGAAGGCCUUAGGGUUGUAAAGCUCUUUUACCCGGGAUG